UACGGAGGGUGCAAGCGUUAUCCGGAAUCACUGGGUUUAAAGGGUGCGUAGGCGGCUGAGUCAGUCAGGGGUGAAAGCCCGCAGCUUAACUGCGGAACUGCCUUUGAUACUGCUUAGCUUGAAAGAGGUUGAGGUCAGCGGAACGUGACAUGUAGCGGUGAAAUGCAUAGAUAUGUCACAGAACACCAAUUGCGAAGGCAGCUGGCUGGGCCUACUUUGACGCUGAGGCACGAAAGCGUGGGGAGCGAACAGG
rnacentral:rRNA from 1 species